rnacentral:rRNA from 1 species
AGUGAACGCUGGCGGUAGGCCUAACACAUGCAAGUCGAACGGCAGCACAGUAAGAGCUUGCUCUUACGGGUGGCGAGUGGCGGACGGGUGAGGAAUACAUCGGAAUCUACUUUUUCGUGGGGGAUAACGUAGGGAAACUUACGCUAAUACCGCAUACGACCUACGGGUGAAAGCAGGGGAUCUUCGGACCUUGCGCGAUUGAAUGAGCCGAUGUCGGAUUAGCUAGUUGGCGGGGUAAAGGCCCACCAAGGCGACGAUCCGUAGCUGGUCUGAGAGGAUGAUCAGCCACACUGGGACUGAGACCCGGUCCAGACUCCUACGGGAGGCAGCAGUGGUAAAUAUUGGACAAUGGGCGCAAGCCUGAUCCAGCCAUACCGCGUGGGUGAAGAAGGCCUUCGGGUUGUAAAGCCCUUUUGUUGGGAAAGAAAAUCAGCAGGUUAAUACCCCGCUGUUCUGACGGUACCCAAAGAAUAAGCCCCGGCUAACUUCG